UGGGGAAUAUUGCACAAUGGGCGCAAGCCUGAUGCAGCCAUGCCGCGUGUAUGAAGAAGGCCUUCGGGUUGUAAAGUACUUUCAGCGGGGAGGAAGGCGAUAAGGUUAAUAACCUUGUCGAUUGACGUUACCCGCAGAAGAAGCACCGGCUAACUCCGUGCCAGCAGCCGCGGUAAUACGGAGGGUGCAAGCGUUAAUCGGAAUUACUGGGCGUAAAGCGCACGCAGGCGGUCUGUCAAGUCGGAUGUGAAAUCCCCGGGCUCAACCUGGGAACUGCAUUCGAAACUGGCAGGCUAGAGUCUUGUAGAGGGGGGUAGAAUUCCAGGUGUAGCGGUGAAAUGCGUAGAGAUCUGGAGGAAUACCGGUGGCGAAGGCGGCCCCCUGGACAAAGACUGACGCUCAGGUGCGAAAGUGUGGGGAGCAAACA
rnacentral:rRNA from 1 species